rnacentral:rRNA from 1 species
GAUGAACGCUGGCGGCGUGCUUAACACAUGCAAGUCGAACGAUGAAGCCCAGCUUGUCGGGUGGAUUCGUUGGGAACGGGUGAGUAACACGCGAGUAAACUGCCCUUAGCUCUGGGAUAAGUCUGGGCGACUGGGUGGAAUAACUGAUAGGAGAGUUAAUGCACCGGUGGGUGUUGGAAAGAUUUAGCGGUUUUGGAUGGAUUCGCGGCCUAUCAGCUCGUUUGUGAGGUAAUGGUGCACCAAGGCGACGACGGGUAGCCGGCCUGAGAGGGUGACCGGCCACACUGGGACUGAGACACGGCCCAGACUCCUACGGGAGGCAGCAGUGGGGAAUAUUGCACAAUGGGCGCAAGCCUGAUGCAGCGACGCCGCGUGAGGGAUGACGGCCUUCGGGUUGUAAACCUCUUUCAGUAGGGAAGAAGCGAAAGUGACGGUACCUGCAGAAGAAGCACCGGCUAACUACGUG